rnacentral:rRNA from 1 species
AUGAGGCGAACCGGGGGAACUGAAACAUCUAAGUACCCCGAGGAAAAGAAAUCAACCGAGAUUCCCCCAGUAGCGGCGAGCGAACGGGGAGGAGCCCAGAGCCUGAAUCAGCAUGUGUGUUAGUGGAAGCGUCUGGAAAGGCGCGCGAUACAGGGUGACAGCCCCGUACACAAAAGCGCAUGUGCUGUGAGCUCGAUGAGUAGGGCGGGACACGUGGUAUCCUGUCUGAAUAUGGGGGGACCAUCCUCCAAGGCUAAAUACUCCUGACUGACCGAUAGUGAACCAGUACCGUGAGGGAAAGGCGAAAAGAACCCCGGCGAGGGGAGUGAAAAAGAACCUGAAACCGUGUACGUACAAGCAGUGGGAGCCCCACCACUAAGCCAGUGGUGAACUCCACAUACGCAUCCUUUGCUGAAGGCAAUGGUUAACGGAGCGAAAGCGACGUUCAACCGCAAAACAAGCAGAGGGGGCUUAGUGGUGGGGUGACUGCGUACCUUUUGUAUAAUGGGUCAGCGACUUAUAUUCUGUAGCAAGGUUAACCGAAUAGGGGAGCCGGAGGGAAACCGAGUCUUAAUUGGGCGUUAAGUUGCAGGGUAUAGACCCGAAACCCGGUGAUCUAGCCAUGGGCAGGUUGAAGGUUGGGUAACACUAACUGGAGGACCGAACCGACUAAUGUUGAAAAAUUAGCGGAUGACCUGUGGCUGGGGGUGAAAGGCCAAUCAAACCGGGAGAUAGCUGGUUCUCCCCGAAAGCUAUUUAGGUAGCGCCUCGUGAAUUCAUCUCCGGGGGUAGAGCACUGUUUCGGCUAGGGGGCCAUCCCGGCUUACCAACCCGAUGCAAACUGCGAAUACCGGAGAAUGUUAUCACGGGAGACACACGGCGGGUGCUAACGUCCGUCGUGAAGAGGGAAACAACCCAGACCGCCAGCUAAGGUCCCAAAGUCAUGGUUAAGUGGGAAACGAUGUGGGAAGGCCCAGACAGCCAGGAUGUUGGCUUAGAAGCAGCCAUCAUUUAAAGAAAGCGUAAUAGCUCACUGGUCGAGUCGGCCUGCGCGGAAGAUGUAACGGGGCUAAACCAUGCACCGAAGCUGCGGCAGCGACACUGUGUGUUGUUGGGUAGGGGAGCGUUCUGUAAGCCUGUGAAGGUGUGUCGUGAGGCAUGCUGGAGGUAUCAGAAGUGCGAAUGCUGACAUAAGUAACGAUAAAGCGGGUGAAAAGCCCGCUCGCCGGAAGACCAAGGGUUCCUGUCCAACGUUAAUCGGGGCAGGGUGAGUCGACCCCUAAGGCGAGGCCGAAAGGCGUAGUCGAUGGGAAACGGGUUAAUAUUCCCGUACUUGGUGUUACUGCGAAGGGGGGACGGAGAAGGCUAUGUUGGCCGGGCGACGGUUGUCCCGGUUUAAGCGUGUAGGUGUGUGUUCCAGGUAAAUCCGGUUCACUUUAACACUGAGGCGUGAUGACGAGGCACUACGGUGCUGAAGCAACAAAUGCCCUGCUUCCAGGAAAAGCCUCUAAGCAUCAGGUAACAUCAAAUCGUACCCCAAACCGACACAGGUGGUCAGGUAGAGAAUACCAAGGCGCUUGAGAGAACUCGGGUGAAGGAACUAGGCAAAAUGGUGCCGUAACUUCGGGAGAAGGCACGCUGACACGUAGGUGAAGUGAUUUACUCAUGGAGCUGAAGUCAGUCGAAGAUACCAGCUGGCUGCAACUGUUUAUUAAAAACACAGCACUGUGCAAACACGAAAGUGGACGUAUACGGUGUGACGCCUGCCCGGUGCCGGAAGGUUAAUUGAUGGGGUCAGCGCAAGCGAAGCUCCUGAUCGAAGCCCCGGUAAACGGCGGCCGUAACUAUAACGGUCCUAAGGUAGCGAAAUUCCUUGUCGGGUAAGUUCCGACCUGCACGAAUGGCGUAAUGAUGGCCAGGCUGUCUCCACCCGAGACUCAGUGAAAUUGAACUCGCUGUGAAGAUGCAGUGUACCCGCGGCAAGACGGAAAGACCCCGUGAACCUUUACUAUAGCUUGACACUGAACAUUGAGCCUUGAUGUGUAGGAUAGGUGGGAGGCUUUGAAGCGUGGACGCCAGUCUGCGUGGAGCCGACCUUGAAAUACCACCCUUUAAUGUUUGAUGUUCUAACGUGGACCCGUAAUCCGGGUUGCGGACAGUGUCUGGUGGGUAGUUUGACUGGGGCGGUCUCCUCCUAAAGAGUAACGGAGGAGCACGAAGGUUGGCUAAUCCUGGUCGGACAUCAGGAGGUUAGUGCAAUGGCAUAAGCCAGCUUGACUGCGAGCGUGACGGCGCGAGCAGGUGCGAAAGCAGGUCAUAGUGAUCCGGUGGUUCUGAAUGGAAGGGCCAUCGCUCAACGGAUAAAAGGUACUCCGGGGAUAACAGGCUGAUACCGCCCAAGAGUUCAUAUCGACGGCGGUGUUUGGCACCUCGAUGUCGGCUCAUCACAUCCUGGGGCUGAAGUAGGUCCCAAGGGUAUGGCUGUUCGCCAUUUAAAGUGGUACGCGAGCUGGGUUUAGAACGUCGUGAGACAGUUCGGUCCCUAUCUGCCGUGGGCGCUGGAGAACUGAGGGGGGCUGCUCCUAGUACGAGAGGACCGGAGUGGACGCAUCACUGGUGUUCGGGUUGUCAUGCCAAUGGCACUGCCCGGUAGCUAAAUGCGGAAGAGAUAAGUGCUGAAAGCAUCUAAGCACGAAACUUGCCCCGA